UUCAUGAGUAAACAUUCACGUUAUGUUUUUUGCGUGCGCUCGAUCUGGAACUUGUGGAACUGGAAUUCAAAGGCGUGAUAUCGUUGAUGUGGUACAACUGUUGGCAGUUUGGUCUUGACUUUCUCCCCCACUAAUUCACGAUGACAACAAAGAAAGUGGAGAUUGAGUACUGUGGCGGAUGAGGUUACUACCCCCGCUUCAGGGAACUUCAGAUGGACAUAAGCGCUGAAGUUCCUGGAGCGGUUGUAGAUGGCAGGGUCGGCAGGAGAACUUCCUUUGAAGUCACCCUAAACGGCAAGCUGUUGUUCUCAAAACUGAAGACCGGAGGAUUUCCCAUCAACAAGGAGAUAAUCCAAGCCAUCAAGGAGUAUAAAGGCGAGGGGGAUGUGACACCUGUCACCAACACUGCCAGCAAUUGCAUCUUGCUGUAAAGACACAGUACUAGCAGUCGUUGUGACCUCUGGUUUUGGUUAUGCUGUUGGAAUGCAUGGUGAUCUUGGAUUUGGUCUGUUCUAGGGUAAAUUGAGGCUACGUGGGACAGUCGUGGCUGUGGCUUGUCUUAAUGUGCAUGUUUAUAGGAAGUCAAUGCAGCCACUUGCUGUUGGUUUCCAGAGGUGAAUGUGUCCUAUGCAGCCAUAGCCAUGACUUUCAGUCGGAGCCUUAGGUUCUCUGGAAAUCCACAGUUUCACUCCCUGUAGACUCUUUGACAUGUGUUUGUAAUUUCAGUUAAAACGCACAAACUUCUGCAGGUCAUGAAUAGCAAAAUGAAGAAAAGUCUGUUCCCAAGUACAUGUAUAUUUGUCAUAGCAACCAAUAUCCUCUAAACCGUGCCAAUCAUCUUUCAUGGAAUUCCUAACGUAUUACACAGGCUAAUUUGUACAAGAUUCUAUUUAUGAUUCAUGGUCUCUUUUUAUGGAUAAGAACUCAUGCAGUUUAUUUCAUCUCAGGUGUGUUAUUUAUACAGGAAAACAGGAUAUUUAUGGGUGUUUGGAUGUAAAUGUCUAUUUUGGGGCAAAUGUAUAUUAUAUUGGCUAAAAAAAAGUGAUGAAGUAGAAUCAUCAAGAUAAGUCACUAAAUCCAGAUGACCUAAAUGUACUGUACUUUUUCAUUCGUGUCUGCUGGUUCUGUACAUGUAUUGGGAGGUUCGGUCCAACCAACCCACACCCCACUUGGACCCUUAAGUAUUCCAUACAUGUUCAAACCCUUGUUGCAUCCUGCAGACUAUUGUCACCAAGCGUAUUAGCCAACCAAAGCACCUCACUCCAAGACUGCCUUGGUAUUAAACUGAACAUGUACAGAUCAGGGUCUCUUUCGUGAAGUGCAGGGAAUGGCAAAUCGCACGAUGAGUUCGAUGAAAUUUUAUGGUAAAACUUCGAGAGAUAUUUGCUCUUUUGAGAUUUAUCCUGUGUGUGGUUGUUUGUUUCAUGUUGUUUUUCAGUAUUACAGGACAAGGGAGCAUACACAGAUAAAGUUUACCUUCUUUCAGAAGUGGGUAGAAAUUUGAAAAAUCUUUGGGGGGAAGUCAACUCUCUCUGACCACAGUGAGCAGAACAGACGAGGCUGCAACUCAUUUCAAGAAUAAUGCGUAUGAAUUGUAGCGAAAAGUGUCAUGAAAAAUGGCUUGCAUACACGAGUACAUCUUUUUGGUCCAUUAAUACAGAGAAGCUCCUGAUGUAAGUCUUGACAAUGUUGGUUCUGUACUGCAUUUAUGUAAAUCUAAACAUGAAUCAAUGGUUGUUUUCCUAGUUUAAUCUGUUCUGAACUUUUAACCGGGGUUGUUUGAUUUAAAUCACUCAAUUUAAAUCAUUGAUUUAAAACACGAUUUAAAUCAACAGAAACAAAUUUUAAAAUCACCAAUCAAAAUCACUAUUUUAUUUAUUGAUUCUUUUCAAAGAAAAAAACCAGUUAGUUACUGAAGGAACUUCAAAGAAAGCACUCAUUAAGUUAAAAUUGAUCAUUUUUAUGUGCAAUACACAUUAGGGGCCUGUGUUUUCUGAAGCAAUUCACAUAUGUACAUGUACUUUUGUAGCCUAUGUUAAAUUUUAAGUGAUGUUCCUAUAGUAUGCAUACCUGCACAGAAUUAAUCUCUUGCCUGUGUACCAUUAAAAAAAUUUUUUUUGCACAUUAACAAGUGUCAUUAGCUGUUAUAUAACAUUCUACAUGUAUGCAAAUGCCCCCCUGCUUUACAGGCCAUUGAUAAAACCACGUUGUCUAUGGUCAGAAUAGCAACAUCAGCGAUAACAAAGAAACAGUUCACAUGUGAUCUACAUGUAUGUCUGUGGAUGUAAAUAAAGUAUACAUGUAGUGAGCGUUGUACAUGUGAAUGGUACCAGUAGUUGCAAUUAAAAGGAUUGAGAGUGAAUUUGGGGUGUUUUAAGCAAAUGGUCCUGAUUGUUAGGCCCAACUGUUAUUUAGCUUAUUAAAAAUUCUAUUUAAAUUAAAAAAAUCUGAUUUAAAUCAAAAUAAUCUGAUUUAAAUCAAAAAAAUCCGUUUUUUAAAAACAAUUCAUGAUAUUUAUCAACCCUGCUUUUAACCGUGGGCUAUGAGGUUAUGCGUUGCAGGUGUCUCCAUGGUGUCUCAGAGGCUGUUUUGUUAUUUUAAUUUAGUUUCAACAAAUGCAACAAAGGUUUACUCAAGCCUAUCCCAGUGAUACAAAACUCUUGCCCCCUGAGGACGUAACACAUAACCUCAUUACCUUUCUACACAGGCUUUUAUAUGAGUUUCUUAAACCUGAAUCGACUAAUUCUAUAAAACCCAUGUGUUCCAGCAGCUAGUGACACCCUGUCCGGUUUAGAUCACCUGUCACAUGACAUGAAAGAACCAGCGAAUGACAGGCUGGAUUCAAACAGGGAGACAGUCCUUGCAGUCCAGCCUUGAUGAGCAGUCUGAUGUUUCAUGUAUGCGAGAGGUGAAAAGAACAAGGCAGAGAGGAUAUAAGAAUUUAGAUUUUCUAAUAAGAAUAUAUUGAUCGAAGUUUUCUCUCGUUCUUGAGUUUGGUAUCAGAAUAAAGGUUUCACUGGAAAUUAUAACCUUUUGAACAGCA